rnacentral:rRNA from 1 species
AUACGGAGGAUGCGAGCGUUAUCCGGAUUUAUUGGGUUUAAAGGGUGCGCAGGCGGCCAUUUAAGUCAGCGGUUAAAUCGUGGGGCUCAACCCCAUUCUGCCGUUGAUACUGGGUGGCUUGAUUGCGGUCGAGGUUGGCGGAAUUCGUUGUGUAGCGGGGAAAUGCAUAGAUAUGACGAAGAACACCGAUUGCGUAGGCAGCUGACCAGACCGCAAAUGACGCUCAUGCACGAAAGUGCGGGGAUCGAACAGGAUUAGAUACCCUGGUAGUCCGCACAGUAAACGAUGAAUACUUGUUUUCGGCGAUAUAAUGUCGGAGGCAAAGCGAAAGCGAUAAGUAUUCCACCUGGGGAGUACGCCGGCAGCGGUGAAACUCAAAGGAAUUGACGGGG